AUAACCUGAGCUAUCUCGACGCAUCCUUGCUUCGCGUGUCUGCUAGGUUUCCUCCCACCGCCGUCGCCUCUUGCUAGCCGCCGCUGUCGUCGCCCUUGCCGACGUCAUGCAGGGAGCUUAGCCAACGUCGCUACCCUGCUCCAACGUUGGCAUCGUCGGUCUUCACUCGUACAUCUGCUGCUCGAUCUGUUCUUGCUGCACAUCUUGCAACCCCAGCCUACGUACAAGUCUGAUCUUGACGCCCAGCUCCAGUCUAGUCGUCCGUGUCCAAGCUCUUGCCAAGAUGGAUAAAGGUAAAUCUAGGAAAGCAAAUUGGGAUCCUGUUGCCCAUAAGAUUUUCCUUGACAUUUGUGUUGAAGAAGUGAAUGCAAAUAAUCGUUCUGAUGGACAUUUGAGCCCAAUUGGGUAUGAAAAUAUGAUAAGAAAGUUCAAUGAACGGAAAAAAAGAAACUAUGUUCGCAAGCAAUUCAAAAAUAGGUGGGAUUUACUAAAAAAAGAGUACAAUUGUUGGAAGAUCGUUGAACCAAAAGGCAUCUCGCAUUGGAAUAGAUCCAGUUACUAAGAGCAUUGCGGCUACCGACGAAUGGUGGGAAAAUGAAAUACAGAGAAAUGAGAUUGCAGCCAAGUUUCGAUAUGCUCAAUUAGUGGAUGAGCAAAGAAUGAGUUUAAUAUUUGAUGACCAUAGUGUGACAAAUGCCUACGCAAGGGUUGCAACUCCCUCGUCUCAAGUUGAUGUCUCUCAAAUUAACAUCGAAGAGGAUAAUGUGGUUGACUCAGGUUGUGAAUUAGAUGAUAACCAAGUUACUCAGAACAAAGUUUCAUCUAAAGGUCAAAAGAAGAGAUCAUGCUCUUAUUCACCUAGUCCCAAGAUGGUCCAAAAAAGCAGCAAAAGAGAGUGAUGAUAAAAUGGUAUUUAACCGUAUGGUUGACCUUUGGGAGAGGAGGGAGAUUAGCCGCAACUCGGCGAUGUCGCAAAUAAAUGUGGAUCAUGCGAGAGUUGAGAUCAAAGAGAUGACGACCAUAGUGGUGAACGAUGGAGGUCGACCUGGAAGUGAUGUGUAUUUCUAUGCUCUAUAGCUGUUUACGAAGAAGGAACAUCAUGAUGUAUUCAGUGCCCUGAAGGAUGAGGCUACUGGUGUGAGGCUUGAAUGGAUAAAGAGAACAUGGGAUGUCUUUAUGAAAAAAGAUUAGAACAUAUGUGGUGUUAUUUGCUUUCAAUAAAAUUAGUUCCUAUCGACUUGUACUCUCGUGAACCUAUGUUAUUUGGAACCUCUUGUUUGCACUCAGAUUGUAAUGUUGGGAAACCGGAUUAUUUGAUAUCAACUUGUAUGCAUUACUCAUCUUUGUUUUUGUUUUCAA